rfam:Vicugna pacos cont1.223723, whole genome shotgun sequence.
AAGGACCCUGGAGCUGGGGCCUCGAGUUCGACUCCGCUGGGCUGCUUCGGGAAGGGAGAUUCGAAAAGAGCUUCUGGAGG